ACUGUGAUGGCCGAGAGGUUAAGGAUUUAUGUUGGGGAGCUUUUCAAUCUCCGCGCAGGUUCGAAUCCUGCUCACAGCG